AGCGAACGCUGGCGGCGUGCUUAACACAUGCAAGUCGAGUGCGCGGUUCGUAGCAAUACGAACUGGCGCACGGCGCACGGGUGAGGAACACGUGGGCAACAUGCCCUCCGAUGGGGAAUAACCCGCCGAAAGGCGGGCUAAUACCGCAUACGAUUCCGGGGACCUCGGUUCCUGGACUGAAAGCCCGCAAGGGCGUCGGUGGAGUGGCCCGCGGCCGAUUAGCUUGUUGGCGGGGUAACGCCCACAAGGCAAUGAUCGGUAGCCGGUCUGAGAGAUGAUCGGCCACACUGGAACUGAGACACGGUCCAGACUCCUACGGGAGGCAGCAGUGGGGAAUUGUUCGCAAUGGGCGCAAGCCUGACGACGCAACGCCGCGUGGAGGAUGAAGGUCUUCGGAUUGUAAACUCCUGUUGCCCGGACGAAUANCUCCGACCUAACACGUCGAGUCUGACGGUAC
rnacentral:rRNA from 1 species